rnacentral:lncRNA from 1 species
GUGGGCUUUUGGACGUGCCAAAAUCGGAUCCAGAUGGCAUUCUCAGAGCUUGAUCUCUUCAAUGUUUCUCUCGAAGGUGAUGCCGAGCCCUCUACCACUCGGGGUAGGUCCAGGAGCAUGGAGAUCUGUGAUCUCGAUCCUGUUCUCUAGGAGGUCUGUGAGGAGGUUCCCGAUGAGGCUUUGGAGAUUGGAGUUGGUCAUUAUUUAAUGUAGAAGUCUUUGAAGUCAUCUUGUCUGAAUGAUGAUGUUCUUGUAAUUGUGAU